GCUCCUUCGGGGUCCGCAUUGUAAUUUGCAGAGGAUGCUUCGGGUGCAGCCCCCGUCUAAGUGCCCUGGAACGGGCCGUCAUAGAGGGUGAGAAUCCCGUAUGGGGCGGGGUGUCUGCGUCCGUGUGAAGCUCCUUCGACGAGUCGAGUUGUUUGGGAAUGCAGCUCUAAAUGGGUGGUAAAUUUCAUCUAAAGCUAAAUACUGGCCGGAGACCGAUAGCGCACAAGUAGAGUGAUCGAAAGAUGAAAAGCACUUUGAAAAGAGAGUUAAACAGCACGUGAAAUUGUUGAAAGGGAAGCGCUUGCAACCAGACUCGCUCGCGGGGUUCAGCCGGGCUUCGGCCCGGUGUACUUCCCCGCGGGCGGGCCAGCGUCGGUUUGGGCGGCCGGUCAAAGGCCUCCGGAAUGUAGCGCCCUUCGGGGCGCCUUAUAGCCGGGG
rnacentral:rRNA from 1 species